AUUGAACGCUGGCGGCAGGCCUAACACAUGCAAGUCGAGCGGCAGCGGAAAGUAGCUUGCUACUUUGCCGGCGAGCGGCGGACGGGUGAGUAAUGUCUGGGAAACUGCCCGAUGGAGGGGGAUAACUACUGGAAACGGUAGCUAAUACCGCAUAACGUCUUCGGACCAAAGUGGGGGACCUUCGGGCCUCACACCAUCGGAUGUGCCCAGAUGGGAUUAGCUAGUAGGUGAGGUAAUGGCUCACCUAGGCGACGAUCCCUAGCUGGUCUGAGAGGAUGACCAGCCACACUGGAACUGAGACACGGUCCAGACUCCUACGGGAGGCAGCAGUGGGGAAUAUUGCACAAUGGGCGCAAGCCUGAUGCAGCCAUGCCGCGUGUGUGAAGAAGGCCUUCGGGUUGUAAAGCACUUUCAGCGAGGAGGAAGGCAGUCGUGUUAAUAGCGCGACUGAUUGACGUUACUCGCAGAAGAAGCACCGGCUAACUCCGUGCCAGCAGCCGCGGUAAUACGGAGGGUGCAAGCGUUAAUCGGAAUUACUGGGCGUAAAGCGCACGCAGGCGGUUUGUUAAGUCAGAUGUGAAAUCCCCGCGCUUAACGUGGGAACUGCAUUUGAAACUGGCAAGCUAGAGUCUUGUAGAGGGGGGUAGAAUUCCAGGUGUAGCGGUGAAAUGCGUAGAGAUCUGGAGGAAUACCGGUGGCGAAGGCGGCCCCCUGGACAAAGACUGACGCUCAGG
rnacentral:rRNA from 1 species